rnacentral:rRNA from 1 species
CCCCUAGAUGUUCUGGGCCGCACGCGCGCUACACUGACUGGUGCAACAAGUGUCUGACCUUGGCUCGAGAGGCCUGGGCAACCUUUGAACGCCAGUCGUGCUGGGGAUAGAUUCUUGCAAUUAUUAAUCUUCAACGAGGAAUUCCUAGUAAACGCAAGUCAUCAGCUUGCAUUGAUUACGUCCCUGCCCUUUGUACACACCGCCCGUCGCACCUACCGAUUGAAUGGUCCGGUGAAAUCUCGGGACGGCGGCUUGGUCGCUUGCGUCCGACUGCUGAAACUUGAUUAAACCAUAUCAUUUAGAGGAAGGUGAAGUCGUAACA